CAAAGAGAGGCAAAGCCGCGAGGUGGAGCAAAUCUCAAAAAGCCGUCCCAGUUCGGAUUGCAGGCUGCAACCCGCCUGCAUGAAGUUGGAAUCGCUAGUAAUCGCGGAUCAGCAUGCCGCGGUGAAUGCGUUCCCGGGCCUUGUACACACCGCCCGUCACACCAUAAGAGUCGGGAACACCCGAAGUCCGUAGCCUGACCGCGAAGGGGGCGCGGCCGAAGGUGGGUUCGAUAAUUGGGGUGAAGUCGUAACAAGGUAAC
rnacentral:rRNA from 1 species